rnacentral:rRNA from 1 species
AUUGAACGCUGGCGGCAUGCUUUACACAUGCAAGUCGAACGGUAACAGGCCGCAAGGUGCUGACGAGUGGCGAACGGGUGAGUAAUGCAUCGGAACGUGCCCAGUCGUGGGGGAUAACUACUCGAAAGAGUAGCUAAUACCGCAUACGAUCUAUGGAUGAAAGCGGGGGACCGUAAGGCCUCGCGCGAUUGGAGCGGCCGAUGUCAGAUUAGGUAGUUGGUGGGGUAAAGGCUCACCAAGCCAACGAUCUGUAGCUGGUCUGAGAGGACGACCAGCCACACUGGGACUGGGACACGGCCCAGACUCCUACGGGAGGCAGCAGUGGGGAAUUUUGGACAAUGGGCGCAAGCCUGAUCCAGCAAUGCCGCGUGCAGGAAGAAGGCCUUCGGGUUGUAAAGUGCUUUUGUACGGAACGAAACGGCUCUGGUUAAUACCCGGGGCUAAUGACGGUACCGGAAGAAUAAGCACCGGCUAACUACGUG